rnacentral:rRNA from 1 species
UACGAAGGGGGCUAGCGUUGUUCGGAAUUACUGGGCGUAAAGCGCACGUAGGCGGACUAUUAAGUCAGGGGUGAAAUCCCGGGGCUCAACCCCGGAACUGCCUUUGAUACUGGUAGUCUCGAGUCCGGAAGAGGUGAGUGGAAUUCCGAGUGUAGAGGUGAAAUUCGUAGAUAUUCGGAGGAACACCAGUGGCGAAGGCGGCUCACUGGUCCGGUACUGACGCUGAUGUGCGAAAGCGUGGGGAGCAAACAGG